rnacentral:rRNA from 1 species
ACCCGCUGAACUUAAGCAUAUCAAUAAGCGGAGGAAAAGAAACUAACCAGGAUUCCCCUAGUAGCGGCGAGCGAACCGGGAAGAGCCCAACUUGAAAAUCUCCAGGCUUUGCCUGGCGAAUUGUAGUCUAUAG